rnacentral:misc_RNA from 1 species
GGAAGUUAUGCAAGGGGAAAUGGACAAAGAAAUGUGGAAAAUGCCAAAGGAAGAAGAGAAAGAAGAAGAAUUCUGGGUAUUUGAAGAUCUAGAAUAUGAAUGUGACAGCUCCUCCUCAAUUUCUCCACAAGAUUCAACCUCAACCAGAAGUUCUUUACCAUAUUAACUCAAUUAUCAAUGCAUAAUUGCACAUGAGAUCACGAGUUUAGCCUCAAACCGUCACUAAAAAAAAAGAGAUGAUGAUGCAUUAGGUUGUUUAAUAAAUUCUAGCCAACGCCCUUCUGGGCAUGUAAAUACAUUAUUAAUACAUAUAAAAGAAGGUGUUUUUAGUAGCAA